rnacentral:rRNA from 1 species
UACGUAGGGUGCAAGCGUUGUCCGGAAUUAUUGGGCGUAAAGAGCUCGUAGGCGGUUUGUCGCGUCUGCUGUGAAACCCGAGGCUCAACCUCGCGCCUGCAGUGGGUACGGGCAGACUAGAGUGCGGUAGGGGAGAUUGGAAUUCCUGGUGUAGCGGUGGAAUGCGUAGAUAUCAGGAGGAACACCGAUGGCGAAGGCAGAUCUCUGGGCCGUUACUGACGCUGAGGAGCGAAAGCGUGGGGAGCGAACAGG